CUUGAAUAUCUAUAAGAGGUCCAGCCUGCCCAGUGACUUUGUUCAACGGCCGCGGUAUCCUAACCGUGCGAAGGUAGCGUAAUCACUUGUCUUUUAAAUAGGGACUUGUAUGAAUGGCAUCACGAGGGUUAUACUGUCUCCUUUUUCUAAUCAGUGAAACUAAUCUUCCCGUGAAGAAGCGGGAAUAAACAUAUAAGACGAGAAGACCCUAUGGAGCUUUAAACUCAAUAACAAAUACUAACCUUACAUCAACUUUCAGAAGAUCAACCUUAAUUUUAGUAUUAUGAUUAUUAGUUUUAGGUUGGGGUGACCGCGGAGUAAAAAUUAACCUCCACAUUGAACGGGACCUGUCCCUGAGCCAAGAACUACAGCUCGAAGCACCAACAAAUUGACAUUAAUUGACCCAAUAUUUUGAUCAACGAAC
rnacentral:rRNA from 1 species